GACAGAGGGGGCAAGCGUUGCUCGGAAUUACUGGGCGUAAAGGGCGCGUAGGCGGGAUGGCAAGUCGGUCGUGAAAUCCUUCGGCUCAACCGAAGAACGUCGAUCGAUACUGCUGUUCUUGAGGGUUGCAGAGGAGACUGGAAUUCCCGGUGUAGCGGUGAAAUGUGUAGAGAUCGGGAGGAACACCGGUGGCGAAGGCGGUUCUCUGGGCAUGUUCUGACGCUGAGGAGCGAAAGUGUGGGGAGCGAACAGG
rnacentral:rRNA from 1 species